rnacentral:rRNA from 1 species
GACGAACGCUGGCGGCGUGCCUAACACAUGCAAGUCGAGCGAUGAAAUCCUUCGGGAUGGAUUAGCGGCGGACGGGUGAGUAACACGUGGGUAACCUGCCUCAAAGAGGGGGAUAGCCUCCCGAAAGGGAGAUUAAUACCGCAUAACAUUAGUUUUUCGCAUGGAGAACUAAUUAAAGGAGUAAUCCGCUUUGAGAUGGACCCGCGGCGCAUUAGCUAGUUGGUGAGGUAAAGGCUCACCAAGGCGACGAUGCGUAGCCGACCUGAGAGGGUGAUCGGCCACAUUGGAACUGAGACACGGUCCAGACUCCUACGGGAGGCAGCAGUGGGGAAUAUUGCACAAUGGGCGAAAGCCUGAUGCAGCAACGCCGCGUGAGUGAUGAAGGCCUUCGGGUUGUAAAGCUCUGUCUUUUGGGACGAUAAUGACGGUACCAAAGGAGGAAGCCACGGCUAACUACGUGCCAGCAGCCGCGGUAA